UACAGAGGGUGCAAGCGUUAAUCGGAAUUACUGGGCGUAAAGCGCGCGUAGGUGGUUUGUUAAGUUGGAUGUGAAAGCCCCGGGCUCAACCUGGGAAUUGCAUUCGAGACUGCAUUGCUGGAGUACGGAAGAGGAAGGCGGAAUUCCCGGUGUAGCGGUGAAAUGCGUAGAUAUCGGGAGGAACAUCAGUGGCGAAGGCGGGCUUCUGGUCCAGUACUGACACUCAAGUGCGAAAGCGUGGGGAGCAAACAGG
rnacentral:rRNA from 1 species